GGAAUAGGUCUGAGAUCUGGAGUGACAUUGAGGGGGAAUAGGUCUGAGAUCUGGAGUGACAUUGAGGGGGAAUAGGUCUGAGAUCUGGAGUGACAUUGAGGGGGAAUAGGUCUGAGAUCAGGAGUGACAUUGAGGGGGGGGAAUAGGUCUGACAUCUGGAGUGACAUUGAGGGGGAAUAGGUCUGAGAUCUGGAGUGACAUUGAGGGGGAAUAGGUCUGAGAUCUGGAGUGACAUUGAGGGGGAAUAGGUCUGAGAUCUGGAGUGACAUUGAGGGGGAAUAGGUCUGAGAUCAGGAGUGACAUUGAGGGGGAAUAGGUCUGAGAUCUGGAGUGACAUUGAGGGGGAAUAGGUCUGAGAUCUGGAGUGACAUUGAGGGGGAAUAGGUCUGAGAUCUGGAGUGACAUUGAGGGGGAAUAGGUCUGAUAUCAGGAGUGACAUUGAGGGGGAAUAGGUCUGAGAUCUGGAGUGACAUUGAGGGGGAAUAGGUCUGAUAUCUGGAGUGACAUUGAGGGGGGGAAUAGGUCUGAUAUCAGUAGUGACAUUGAGGGGGAAUAGGUCUGAGAUCUGGAGUGACAUUGAGGGGGAAUAGGUCUGAUAUCAGGAGUGACAUUGAGGGGGAAUAGGUCUGAGAUCUGGAGUGACAUUGAGGGGGAAUAGGUCUGAGAUCUGGAGUGACAUUGAGGGGGAAUAGGUCUGAGAUCUGGAGUGACAUUGAGGGGGAAUAGGUCUGAGAUCAGGAGUGACAUUGAGGGGGAAUAGGUCUGAUAUCAGGAGUGACAUUGAGGGGGAAUAGGUCUGAGAUCUGGAGUGACAUUGAGGGGGAAUAGGUCUGAGAUCAGGAGUGACAUUGAGGGGGAAUAGGUCUGAGAUCAGGAGUGACAUUGAGGGGGAAUAGGUCUGAGAUCUGGAGUGACAUUGAGGGGGAAUAGGUCUGAUAUCUGGAGUGACAUUGAGGGGGAAUAGGUCUGAGAUCAGGAGUGACAUUGAGGGGGAAUAGGUCUGAUAUCUGGAGUGACAUUGAGGGGGAAUAGGUCUGAGAUCAGGAGUGACAUUGAGGGGGAAUAGGUCUGAUAUCAGGAGUGACAUUGAGGGGGAAUAGGUCUGAGAUCUGGAGUGACAUUGAGGGGGAAUAGGUCUGAUAUCAGCAGUGACAUUGAGGGGGAAUAGGUCUGAGAUCUGGAGUGACAUUGAGGGGGAAUAGGUCUGAUAUCAGGAGUGACAUUGAGGGGGAAUAGGUCUGAGAUCAGGAGUGACAUUGAGGGGGAAUAGGUCUGAUAUCUGGAGUGACAUUGAAGGGGAAUAGGUCUGAUAUCAGGAGUGACAUUGAGGGGGAAUAGGUCUGAGAUCAGGAGUGACAUUGAGGGGGAAUAGGUCUGAGAUCAGGAGUGACAUUGAGGGGGAAUAGGUCUGAUAUCAGGAGUGACAUUGAGGGGGAAUAGGUCUGAGAUCAGGAGUGACAUUGAGGGGGAAUAGGUCUGAUAUCAGGAGUGACAUUGAGGGGGAAUAGGUCUGAGAUCUGGAGUGACAUUGAGGGGGAAUAGGUCUGAGAUCAGGAGUGACAUUGAGGGGGAAUAGGUCUGAGAUCAGGAGUGACAUUGAGGGGGAAUAGGUCUGAGAUCUGGAGUGACAUUG